rnacentral:rRNA from 1 species
AUGGGAGGGGCAUCGUUGCUUCAACCACCUCGGGACAUGAAGAAACGGGCGGUCAGCACCAAAGUCUUGGGUGACGUCUUGUCCGGGCAAUCCAUGAAAAUCACCAAGGCAGCGUCCAAUUCAGAUGUUCCUCGGAUUGUCGAACGAGAGCUGAUGGUCAAUCUGAUCUCCAUGAUGCUGUCACCAGAAGGCACGACGGCUCCUGAGAUAAUAACUAACCUGCCGAAGCAUGCCAACCCGGUCUACCGCCCACCCGAGGAGAUGGAGGAGGUCGUUGUGUUGACCGCAAUGUUGUCAUUGAAGAUCCUUCUGCUAGCUCGGCGGUGGGAGGUGAUGAAGACGUGGACCUGGCGCAUAGGGCUCGGGAUAAUGAAAUACUCCCUCUGUUUUAAAAUAGAUGACUCAACUUUGUAUUAA